AUUGAACGCUGGCGGCAGGCCUAACACAUGCAAGUCGAACGGUAGCAGGAAGAAGCUUGCUUCUUUGCUGACGAGUGGCGGACGGGUGAGUAAUGUCUGGGAAACUGCCUGAUGGAGGGGGAUAACUACUGGAAACGGUAGCUAAUACCGCAUAACGUCGCAAGACCAAAGAGGGGGAACUUCGGGCCUCUGGCCAUAUGAUGUGCCCAGAUGGGAUUAGCUAGUAGGUGGGGUAACGGCUCACCUAGGCGACGAUCCCUAGCUGGUCUGAGAGGAUGACCAGCCACACUGGAACUGAGACACGGUCCAGACUCCUACGGGAGGCAGCAGUGGGGAAUAUUGCACAAUGGGCGCAAGCCUGAUGCAGCCAUGCCGCGUGUGUGGAGAAGGCCUUCGGGUUGUAAAGCACUUUCAGCGGGGAGGAAGGGGGAAUGGUUAAUAACCAUUGCCAUUGACGUUACCCGCAGAAGAAGCACCGGCUAACUCCGUGCCAGCCGCCGCGGUAA
rnacentral:rRNA from 1 species